GGACGCGAUGCGCGUGCGGCGCUUGAGCACAUGGAGCAGCGCGAGGACGAGAUUUAGCAGAGCGGCUAACGCUGAAUGCUCUUGGAUGAAGAAAUAACAUUUUACGCGCCAGAAAGUGGACAAAGUGGGGCGUUUUUGGAAACAGCUGGACGAAACGGGAGUUUUUUUUUCGUCAGAGCGACUAAUACGAAGAGGAAACCACAUCCAGGCUUUUAGCUGAGCAUGUUUAUCUCCUCCUCCGAGCUCCUCCUGCCUGCCACAGGAUGUGAAACCUUCAGUUAAGCAAUGAAGAAGAGAGGCCCUUGACAUGCUGACUGGAGCUCAAGAACUCUGUCUUCUGUACUGUAGUGAAAGAGCCCUGAUGCUACCUGUACCUCACAUGCCAUAAGCAUCAUACCAUGAAGUUGCCAGUCACUUUGAUAAGAACCCAGCCUGUGGUCAGUCUGACUCACAGAGAGCAUGAAAAGUCUUUGGCUGGACAGUAUCAAAAGCCAAAGUACGUAACAGGAGUCCUCAACCUGGAAGCAGUUCCUGGCAUGCAGAGCGGUAUGACCUCACCUGAGAUGACCGAAGGACCUGGAGUAAACUGGACAUUCUCCAAAUUCCACAGAACGGGAGGCAGCUGGCAUCCAGGAACAGCGACUGGUGGAAGAGAAUUUAUCCAAACAUAACCACAUGCCCCCAGCAGGCUGAUUUGGCGCAGAUGUUCUGACGUGUUAAUCCACUGUCACUGAGUGGUCCUGCAACUGAUAUUCUAUGGCAUAGACUCCGCACCCUUGCCCAGAGGUGGUGGUCUCAAGGAACCCGCAGCUCACUGAUGCGUCGGCAUGGGUAGACUCCAUCCUUCUGGAUUGCCUGCCAUUGCAUCACUUACCUAGCUGAGUGUGCGUAAAGGGAGCAAGUGGAAUCUAGGAAAUCCCCUUCUGCCACGUGGGGACUGAACGCCUGCUCUGGCUCGUGAAUAAAUUCCUGUUGUGAUGUCCCAGACUGUAGCAUGUCCCCUGAAACCUUACAGAACAUAUUUCCACCGAACGUCAUCAUAAAUCAACAAGAAAUCACAGAAGGCCCUGAAGAUUCUUCACAUUUUUAUAAAUGUUGGCUGGUAAAGAAAGAACGUCAUCUUUUGGACAACACAGUGAUUUCUCCAGAAUGGUCAGCUGAUCAACAGGCAGCAAACUACGCACGCUACAUUCCAUCUGGCUGAGAGAGAAAGUUGGCCUGCCCUCAGCCCAGCUGAGAGUGAGAAUGCACUGGGAGGCUUUCCCAACUCUGUUUUUCCCCUUUCCCUUGGAUUCUUUGCCCAUUUGGAGUGGAAAGAUGGCUGCGGUAAGAGUAGAGGGGGAUGAGAGUAAAGUGGCUCAUGUGUUGACUCAAAGAUAGGGAAUCAGAAAAAGUGUCCAUGAUGAGCAGUCCAGACGCUGCAUUAGUAACAAGGAUGUGGGUUUGGAACCAGCCUUUUGUGGCCCAAAUAUGGCAGUACCAAACGAUGAGGAAGCAUACUGUUUUAUUGAAAGCAGGCUUUUGUGAGAGCGUCAACAUACAAAAUUGUAACUAAUUUUACAUGCAUGCCCCAUUGAUGAUGCAUAGACAUUCAAUGCAAAAAACUUGGAACAUGGAAACACCCCAUUUUUGCCUGAUAUGGGAAACCCAAAGUAAAGGCAGCACUGUUCCCACAUACUUUGGGCUACAGCCAUGAUCUUGGUCUCUUUUGAAAGGUAACACUAAGGUUUUUCCCCAACCAUCAGAAUAAUUGAAAGAAUUAUUGACACAGAGUAACAGAGGCUAGAAUGGAGUUUAUUUCCACCUGACUCAUAGAUCUUUAAACUGAUCUCUGAAAUGUUGUCAAGACCACAUUUUGGAUUAUGAUGUGUCGGUGGAUAGAGGCAAGGCUUUGAAUAUAAAGACUCACAGAUUUGCAAGCGUUUGCUCAUUCUGUGCGUAUGUUGCAAAUGAGACAAUCAUUACUGCUGUGAAUAAUGAAUCAUAGAAUGGUUUGUGGAAAUUGAAUCUGAUUUGCUGGAUGAUUUUACUGUAUAAAAAUGAUGUAGUAAAAACUGGAAGUGAACACUUCAAUGGAAACGUGCCAGUACUGGUACAGUGAUCUAGAAGAGGUUAAAGGAGAAUUCCAAAAUUCUUCUCAAUAUACAGUUGAUGGAUUUUUUAUAUAAAAUGUUCUUAGAACACAAAAUAUUGUGUCUGCUUGGUAGAAUUCCACAAAUGCACACUCUCCACCAGUUGUGCUAUUAUUUCCUUAUUAGUAUGAGACCUAAUGAACAGAAUGCAUGUAAUCUUAUAGUGUUGCCUAGGGCUAUUUUACUACAUCAUUUGUUUUUAACAUUGUGGGUAGGAAUGUGUUUCUAUUCGCCAGUACUUUAUUCACUCUCAGGUGGAGGAGCUCAGCUAAUGUAGUACAACCAGAAGACUAAUUAUCAAGCUGGUAUCUAAAUAACACGUUCUGCUCAUAUUUUCAUUAAAUGUUAUAAUGUAUAUUUAUAAUUUACAUAAAAACCCAAGAGGGUGAUGUUAAACUGUUUAUAUGCUUAUAUAAACAGCUCAAAUAAUUGUGAUCAGGUGACCAUUUCUGAACCCUUAAACAGGAUGCAGUUUAAGCCCUGCGUAAGCUUGUGGGAGGACAUUUUCUGCAACAUAUCUUACUAAAGACACAAAGAUUAUUUUUCAAAGCCAUGAAAACUGUAAAA